rnacentral:rRNA from 1 species
AUGGCCUGGUGGGGGAAAGCUUUUGCGGUGUGGGAUGGGCCCGCGGCCUAUCAGCUUGUUGGUGGGGUGAUGGCCUACCAAGGCGACGACGGGUAGCCGGCCUGAGAGGGUGACCGGCCACACUGGGACUGAGAUACGGCCCAGACUCCUACGGGAGGCAGCAGUGGGGAAUAUUGCACAAUGGGCGCAAGCCUGAUGCAGCGACGCCGCGUGAGGGAUGACGGCCUUCGGGUUGUAAACCUCUUUCAGCACAGACGAAGCGCAAGUGACGGUAUGUGCAGAAGAAGGACCGGCCAACUACGUGCCAGCAGCCGCGGUAAUACGUAGGGU